CGAAAGUGUAUCUGGCCGAGAUUAAAUUCAUAAAUACUACGUAAAUCGGAUGGAUAAAGUUUAAAUCUAAGAGAUAACAGAUCUCCAGAUCAGUUUGUAGAGAAAGGAAACAAGAAGGAUAUGGCUAGUUUCAAGUCAAUAAAUAGCUUAACAUAGAGCUUUAGGUUGCCUUGGUCUUGGUGGUGGUUUGAGAAAGGUUGAAAGUGCUUGAGCUGUUCUAAAUAUAACUUGC
rnacentral:lncRNA from 1 species